rnacentral:rRNA from 1 species
GAUGAACGCUGGCGGCGUGCCUAAUACAUGCAAGUCGAGCGAACAGACGAUGAGCUUGCUCCUCUGACGUUAGCGGCGGACGGGUGAGUAACACGUGUAUAACCUACCUAUAAGACUGGGAUAACUUCGGGAAACCGGAUCUAAUACCGUAUAAUAUAUUGAACCGCAUGGUUCAAUAGUGAAAGACGGUUUUGCUGUCACUUAUAGAUGGAUCCGCGCCGCAUUAGCUAGUUGGUAAGGUAACGGCUUACCAAGGCAACGAUGCGUAGCCGACCUGAGAGGGUGAUCGGCCACACUGGAACUGAGACACGGUCCAGACUACUACGGGAGGCAGCAGUAGGGAAUCUUACGCAAUGGGCGAAAGCCUGACGGAGCAACGCCGCGUGAAUGAUGAAGGUCUUCGGAUCGUAAAACUCUGUUAUUAGGGAAGAACAAAUGUGUAAGUAACUAUGCACGUAUUGACGGUACCUAAUCAGAAAGCAACGGCUAACUACGUG